CAUUUUUGCAGUGUUGGGGAUUAAACCUAGGUCCUGCAGAGCCAGGUGAGGUCCUGCAGGAGCCAGCAGAGUCACAUGCGUAUGGCACUGUACACACAUGCGUGUGAGGUGUGUGCAGACUCCCAUUGCCCGUCUGUCUCUGGUCCUCUGGCGGGUGUAUCUCCCACUCGGAGCCACACCUGGGCCAGGUUCCACAGACACCUGGACGGCCAGCCUCAGCCACCGGAGCCCGUCCUGAGCAAGGUGUGUCUGCCAUCCCUCCCACUCAGCCCUCCCUGGCCCCGCAUGGUCCUGUGUAAACAGGCGGUGUGCAGCUGUGGAGGAACACCAACCCGCCAGUUCCCAUCAGGAGCAUCUUCGUGCCUGCCCAAGAAUGUACGGGGCCCCCGCACUGUGGGGCCGGGACUGAGUCUGGAGGACGGAGGACCGAUCUGGGGGACACCAGAGAAAUCCAGCCCAAGCCUGCAAAGGGGACUUGGGAAGAAAAGGAACGGCCUAGAUUCAGACUGGAAGGGAGAGAGUACAGCCCCCCUGGCAGAGACACGUGAUCGACUACACAGGAGAUCCCAGAUGCCCAGAGCAGCACCUGGAC
rnacentral:lncRNA from 1 species